rnacentral:pre_miRNA from 1 species
AAGCGUGUGCCCUCAUUAUAGUUGGGAUUUUUUAGAUCAGCAGUUAUUGAUAUAUAUAUGUAUCGUAAAUCUUCUACUGGCCUACUAAGUCUCAAUAUAAUGGGAGUAAAAACCUCAGU